ACACGACUACAUUAGAUACCCCUGUAGUCCAGGGUGUAAACGCUGCGGGCUUGGUGUUGGGGGUCCUUUGAGGGCGCCCAGUGCCGGAGAGAAGUUGUUAAGCCUGCUGCUUGGGGAGUACGUCCGCAAGGAUGAAACUUAAAGGAAUUGGCGGGGGAGCACCGCAACGGGAGGAGCGUGCGGUUCAAUUGGAUUCAACGCCGGACAACUCACCAGGAGCGACGGUUACAUGAAGGCCAGGCUGAUGACCUUGCCUGAUUCUCCG
rnacentral:rRNA from 1 species